AAGAACUCUAGAAGACUCUCGGCGACACUAGAAGCGACUUUCACCGACUCACACCGAUCGGCGAUUUUCUUUCUGGCAGCUCCGGAUUUUUCUUCCGAUUAUCGGAUUUCUCAUCUUCCUUGCCUAUGGGUGACAAGGACUUGUGGUUUUCUCUCCAAAAUCUGACUUUGGGUUCAGAUCGAAGUCCAUUGAGGCUCUCAUCCGAAGCCCAAAAGCAGCGUGAGGCCGACCACAGACUCAGUCUGGUUGUUCAAGGCCUGCAUCCUUCCCAGAACCCAGCUGGAAUUAAGCUCAUGAUGCCGAAGAUUUGGAAGCUCGAAGGAAGAGUCAAUAGCCGUAUAAAUGAAGAUGGAUCUUUACAAUUCUUCUUCAAGGAGGAACAUCAGAUGCUAACUGUUCUGGAUAAUGGUCCCUGGACCUAUAAAGACUGGCUGGUUGUAGUUGAUAAGUGGACCAGGAGGAACUGUCCCGACUACCUUCAAUUCAUCCGCUUCUGGGUUAAGAUCCUCAACAUACCUGAUGAUUCUAAGGAGAAACGAUCAAUUGAUGAGAUUGGAGGGGUUCUAGGUCAUGUGGAAGAUAUCUUUAUACAACAACCAACUGCGGACAAAGCCAGUGAAGUAUGGGUACGAUUCCAAUCAAUAUCUCUGGAAAGUUACUCUUUGCUCGUUUCUUUAACUUUGAAGACUAUCGUGAGCCUAUUCUAAUUCGAUACAUCUAUGACAAGCUGCGAAAGUUCUGUACUAGUUGUGGUAGCCUUACACACUUGGCAGCAAACUGUUCAUCUCAAGCCCAAGAAGCAGAGCCUCUUCCUCUACCCGCUCCUCCUUCUGCUUCAAAUCAAGAUAGACGCUUGGAGCCUGAGCAGCAUACACCUACUGAAGAUGCGGAUGAUACUAUGGGGGAAACAAUUGGAUCAAACAUUAACAUGGAUACAUCUGAGAAUCCUUUGCCUGCAGGCUCACAAGGAGAUUUAAUGGAUUUUCUUCAUCACUCUGAAUUUCAAGCAGGCAUCAAUCAAACUCUUACCAUUAGAGAAGUAGGUUCUACUUCAGUCUCACCGCGGGAACGAGGUACCAAACGCAAGAUUGAUGCGACACUUGCUGAUGAUGGAACUUCCUUUGUAAGAAGAAGAACAAAUGAUCCGAUUUAGACCAUGGCUGAAGGGGAGGUGGCAACCCCAAAGCCACCACAGCCAGAAUGAAGAUUUUACACUGUAUUGUCAGGGCUUGAGGAACCCCCUGAUAAUUCCUUUUUUGAAGGAUAUCAACCGUAAGUAUAAGCUUGAUAUCCUGUUCCUCGUCGAAACUAAGAAUAAAGAUAGUUAUGUACAUCAACUCGGCGCUGAACUCCAAUUUCACCACCAUUUUCUCUUGUCACCGGAUGGUUUAAGCGGAGGAUUGGCUAUCUUUUGGCGCGACACAGUUCAGUGUGAUUUUCUCUCCCCUCCUACUCUGUAUUAUACAGAUAUGUAUGUAUCAGACGGCCGGGAUACCUUUUGUAUGACAUACAUUUAUGGUAAUCCUGAGAGAAAACCGAGGCAGAUAAUGUGGAACAUGAUGGAGCGGUUGGCACAAGCGGGACUCUACCAAAGAAAACCAAGAGUGGUACUUGGUGACUUUAAUGAAAUCAAGCAUAAUUCUGAGAAGCUUGGCGGUCCAUUAAGGCCAGAGUGGCAGUUUGCCAAUUUUCGACGGAUGUUAAAAAUCUCUGGCUUACAUGAAGUUAAAACUUUUGGAGGCCAAUUUACUUGGGUGGGUAACAGAAGUGCAGGAACUAUUAAAUCAAAGCUAGACAGAGUGGUUGCUACUGCAACUUGGCAUGAUAAAUAUCCCAAAGCUUUUGUCCAGCUCUUAGAAUAGAUUGGCUCGGAUCAUCGACCUCUACUGCUUCAAACUGAAGCCACCAGCUGGAAAGGCAAGACUUUAUUCAGAUAUGAUAAUCGCUGGAGGUUUCAACGAGAUAUUCACUCAGCUCUCCAACGUACAUGGGAUCAAAGUUGCAGUCAAUUACCACCCUAACAAUUUCAUGAAGCGUUAAAACGAUGCAGGAAUAGUCUCUCUCGCUGGAAAUCAGAGCAUCAUCUUAAUUCACAAAAACGGAUCCAGCAACUCCGUCUAGCCCUACAGAAAGCUAAUGAUCUGGAUUCUGUGCUGCAACAUAUUCAACCAAAAGUCACUGCAGAGAUGAACCAACAGCUCACUAAGCCAGUUUCUGAGGAGGAGAUUUUUAAAGCUUUAUCUGCCAUGAAUGUUGACAAGGCUCCAGGACCUGAUGGGUUUAAUGCAGGCUUCUACAAGUACCACUGGAAUACAAUUAAAUCAGGUGUGGUAAACUUUGUCUAAUAUUUUUUCCAAUCUGGUAAUCUUGACCCGGACAUGAACCACACUUAUAUAUGCCUUGUUCCUAAGAUAGAAUCUCCUACUCAGGUUAAAGAUUUUAGACCAAUUAGUUUAUGCAACAUUGCAUAUAAACUAAUAUCUAAAGUCAUGGCAGAACGUCUAAAACUUUGGUUACAUUGUCUGAUAUCAGAAUUUCAGUCGGCUUUUAUUCCUGGUCGUCUCAUCACAGAUAAUGUAAUCAUUACUCACGAGCUUCUGCAUUCAUUGCGUACUAAAAAAAUCAAAUCACCUUUCAUGGCUCUUAAGCUUGACAUUGCUAAAGCUUUUGAUAAGGUGGAAUGGAAUUAUUUGUUGUCCAUAUUGAGACGAUUUGGUUUUGCAGAGAAAUGGUGCCAAUGGAUAAUGAAAUGUGUUACCACAGUCACCUAUUCAGUGCUUAUUAAUGGAUCUCCUUCUAAAAAGAUUAUUCCUAGCAGAGGAUUGCGUCAAGAUGACUCUCUCCUAUUUUGUCAAGCAAAUGAGCAAGAAUGUCAUCAAAUCCUCCAGCUGCUCCAAGUUUAUGCAACUGCUUCCGGCCAGCACGUCAACUUUCAAAAAUCUGCUAUACUAUUUGCUCAGAUACGACGUUUCAGGUGGUCCAGCAUUAAAGAAAAGCAAAAGAUCCCUUGGAUAGCAUGGACCAAACUUACUAUGAUGAAACAGUACAGAGGCAUGGGUUUUCGAGAUCUCUCUCAUUUCAACACUGCUCUAUUGGCGAAGCAAAGCUGGCGAAUGUUAAAAGAGCCUCAUUCUUUACUCUCCAGAGUUCUCAAAGCAAAAUAUUUUUAUAAAACCUCUCUGAUGGAAGCUGCAGUUGGACACCGCCCAAGUCAUGCUUGGCGAAGUAUAAUGCAAGGUACAUCUCUCUUAAAACAGGGCUUAAAGUGGAGAAUAGGUAAUGGUCAUACAGUUCGGUUUCAGGACUCAUGAAGCCAUGCACAACAUCUUGGGAUGAAGAGAAGCUACAGGAGAAAAUUUGUCCUGAAGAUGCUCAGCUUAUUAGGAGAAUACGACUGAGGCUCCUUAAAGGCCCUGAUGUUCCUACCUGGAUAUUCACUAAGGAUGGCCAGUAUACUGUCAAGUCUGGCUACCAUCAACUAUCAAAACCGCAUCCAGACUGUUCCAUAACUUCAACUCAACUCCAAGAUAAUAUUGCACAUCGGCGCAUCAAAAUCUCUUCAGACUGCCUUUUUUGUGGUGAUGCUGCUGAAACUAUUCCCCACCUCUUCUUUCAAUGUCGGGUAGCAAAAGAGAUUUAGGAACUAUCACCCCUACAUAUCCCAUCAGAUGGUUCAUGGUUAGAUCCCCACAGCAAAGCAGGCAUUGGUUGGGCCCUCUUCAACGCACAAGGACGCUGUAUCCUUAAAGGAUCCUUAUCCAUUGAUCCUACUAGCUCAGCUUUGGAAACUGAAGCCAUUGCGCUGAGAGAAGCCCUUUUCCAACUGAAACGACCCAAUUACCAGAAUGUCACUUUCUAUGGUGAUUUUAGUGCACUAUACAAUCAUUUGGAGAAAUAAGUUAAGCAAAUCCAACAGGAUCCUGGACCAUUGGAGAUUCAAGGAUAUCUUGAAGAUAUAGUGGCUAUGGCGCGUGGUUAUUAUGCGUUCAAACAUGUUGGUAGACAAGUCAAUACCGUUGCUGACAUGCUAGCCCGGAAAGCUAGACAACAAAACUUACCAUCUGAUAUCUCAUAGAUCCAUUAAAUGUAUGUCUUAACUUUGUACACCAAACACUAGUUUGUAAUUUGUUUCCUCAUCUAAUGGAAAAUUUGGCCGUAAAAAAAAAAA